GGAAAAGGGAAUCUUGAGAAACUAAUCUGAGCAGUUCCACUAGAAGUAAUUUUAGAGCAAAUCUGAAAGCUAGAUGCUGCGAUGGAGAAGCUUAUACAGCAAGGAGUUGAAGGAGGCUUCCAUCUACCAAUCAACCCUCCGUACAGUUGCUGAAGAACUGAAUUCUGCCAAUACUCACUGAAUAAAUUUGGAAGCAGAAAUGAAAAAGGAAGUUGUACGCCAAGAGCCAAAAUGUUGUUCCCAAAGUAUAAGCAUUGUGCCUGGCCACUCUGCCCACCAACCUCAACCCAGCCUACUACAUGUCUCCAGAAGCCCAGAAAGUAUAAGCCCAGCAGGUGGCCAUUAGAGCCCCACUUAAAUGGGAGUAUCUGCAUCAGCACAAGGAACUUAACGGCCAAGGAUCAUCAAAGAUCCCACCUUGAUUCAAUGGACCUAUGCAAGAUCAACACAUACCUAUCCCAAUUUCAACACACUCCCAAGAACUCACUCUUAGGAGCUGUACUUGGAAUUGGGCCCCUCUUCUGGUAUUGUCUCCAAGACUGAUAGGAAUAAGAAGAAAAAACUUAAUCAGGAAGAAAAAUUGGAUUGAGCAUUUAGUAUCUUAUAUUGUGUCUGGCAAUGACUAUAUUCAUUCUUACAUAAAUAAAUCUCAUACUAAUCAAUUAAAAAAGACUCAGGAGUGAUGGCACAUGCCUGCAAUCCCAGCACUCUGGGAUGCUGAGGCAAGAAGGUCAAAAAUUUGAGUCCAGCCUAGGAAAUUUACUGACUUAAAGAGACUGUAUCGCCAAAAAAAACACAAAACCUUUUAAAAGUGCUGGGAAUAUACCUUAGUGUGAAGGCACUGGGUUCAAUCUCCAGUACUGAGGAGGGAGAAGGAAAGAAAAGAAAGAAAAAGGGAAGGAAGAAAUGGGUGAAUUAAAUGUGAAAUCUCUUGAAAAAUUAGAUAUAUGUAGAUUCAUGUAGUAACCUCCC
ensembl:lncRNA